ACCAUCAAAUCAUGCAAAUUCCUUCUGCCUGCCUGUGAGCCGCACCAUAGACUGCGAAUCUAUUCCGAUGGACCGCACCAUUACUUCUAUGGACCGAGCAAUCGAUCCACCGUGCACCGAAUGCAAUAAAUUUUAUUUUUAAGAGUAUUUUCACUCGAUUUUUGCUCUGAUUAUUGCCUGAAAAAUUAAAAAAAAUAUACAUUAAAUUCCUCAUU
rnacentral:lncRNA from 1 species